GCCGGGCGUGGUGGCGGGCGCCUGUAGUCCCAGCUACUGGGAGGCUGAGGCAGGAGAAUGGCGUGAACCCGGGAGGCGGACCUUGCAGUGAGCUGAGAUCCGGUCACUGCACUCCAGCCUGGGUGACAGAGCCAGAUUCCGUCUCAA
rnacentral:SRP_RNA from 1 species